rnacentral:rRNA from 1 species
UUCAAUUUUUGAAGUUUCUCUAGCUUUUUUGUUGGGUGAAAUCAGUAUAAGGAGCUCUUUCUUCUUUAAAAAUUAGUAGGAACUAAAAAACUUUGAUUUAAAACCAGGAUUAGAUACCCUGUUAUUCUCAGUUAUUCUUAAACAGGGUAGUAAAAGUUGUUCUUCAAACCCAAAGAUUUUGGCGGCACUUUAUCCAAAUAGAGGAGCUUGCCCCUUAAUCGAUAGUCCUCGUUUUAUCUUUCCUUCAUUUGUAAAGCUUGUAUACCGCCGUUGUCAGAUUACUUUUAGAGAAUGUUUUCAAGUUAAAAGACUUUAUAACUUCAGGUCAAGGUGCAGUUUAUAUGGGGGUGGAGGUGAGCUACAGUUUCCUUUAGAAAAUACGGAUUCUAAGCUUUGAAGCUAGCUGAAGGUGGAUUUACUAGUAAAGUAA